rnacentral:sRNA from 12 species
GACCUAAACUCUUAAUUAAUUAAGGGCAUGGUCGACAAACUGAACAAACAUAGAGAUGGCCAUUCCGUCUCUGGUAUUGUUUGUUCAGUCUGUAGUCGAAAGGCUACUGGACAUCGAAAGGUGUC